GCAAAUUGGUCAACAAAGGUCAAAGUAGCCAAAACUCACAAAAUUCUCCAAGUCAACUGUUCCCAGUUUAAAUUUAGUAAAUAACCCUAUACAAUAAAAAAAAAAAAAGGUGUUUAACAUGAUGCACUGGUGUUAAACAUAUUUUUUAUGAACAAACACAGCAGACAAACACUUUGGGAGACAUGCUCUAAAAAAAAAAAUUCACCAUAAUAUUUGAAGGACAC